rnacentral:rRNA from 1 species
CAGCAGCCGCGGGAAUACGUAGGGUGCAAGCGUUAAUCGGAAUUACUGGGCGUAAAGCGUGCGCAGGCGGUCCGCUAAGACAGAUGUGAAAUCCCCGGGCUUAACCUGGGAACUGCAUUUGUGACUGGCGGGCUAGAGUAUGGCAGAGGGGAGUAGAAUUCCACGUGUAGCAGUGAAAUGCGUAGAGAUGUGGAGGAAUACCGAUGGCGAAGGCAGCCCCCUGGGCCAAUACUGACGCUCAUGCACGAAAGCGUGGGGAGCAAACAGGAUUAGAUACCCGAGUAGUCCCUGUCUCUUAUAC